rnacentral:rRNA from 1 species
AAUGGGUCAGCGACUUAUAUUCUGUAGCAAGGUUAACCGAAUAGGGGAGCCGAAGGGAAACCGAGUCUUAACUGGGCGUUAAGUUGCAGGGUAUAGACCCGAAACCCGGUGAUCUAGCCAUGGGCAGGUUGAAGGUUGGGUAACACUAACUGGAGGACCGAACCGACUAAUGUUGAAAAAUUAGCGGAUGACUUGUGGCUGGGGGUGAAAGGCCAAUCAAACCGGGAGAUAGCUGGUUCUCCCCGAAAGCUAUUUAGGUAGCGCCUCGUGAAUUCAUCUCCGGGGGUAGAGCACUGUUUCGGCAAGGGGGUCAUCCCGACUUACCAACCCGAUGCAAACUGCGAAUACCGGAGAAUGUUAUCACGGGAGACACACGGCGGGUGCUAACGUCCGUCGUGAAGAGGGAAACAACCCAGACCGCCAGCUAAGGUCCCAAAGUCAUGGUUAAGUGGGAAACGAUGUGGGAAGGCCCAGACAGCCAGGAUGUUGGCUUAGAAGCAGCCAUCAUUUAAAGAAAGCGUAAUAGCUCACUGGUCGAGUCGGCCUGCGCGGAAGAUGUAACGGGGCUAAACCAUGCACCGAAGCUGCGGCAGCGACGCUUAUGCGUUGUUGGGUAGGGGAGCGUUCUGUAAGCCUGUGAAGGUGUACUGUGAGGUAUGCUGGAGGUAUCAGAAGUGCGAAUGCUGACAUAAGUAACGAUAAAGCGGGUGAAAAGCCCGCUCGCCGGAAGACCAAGGGUUCCUGUCCAACGUUAAUCGGGGCAGGGUGAGUCGACCCCUAAGGCGAGGCCGAAAGGCGUAGUCGAUGGGAAACAGGUUAAUAUUCCUGUACUUGGUGUUACUGCGAAGGGGGGACGGAGAAGGCUAUGUUGGCCGGGCGACGGUUGUCCCGGUUUAAGCGUGUAGGCUGGUUUUCCAGGCAAAUCCGGAAAAUCAAGGCUGAGGCGUGAUGACGAGGCACUACGGUGCUGAAGCAACAAAUGCCCUGCUUCCAGGAAAAGCCUCUAAGCAUCAGGUAACAUCAAAUCGUACCCCAAACCGACACAGGUGGUCAGGUAGAGAAUACCAAGGCGCUUGAGAGAACUCGGGUGAAGGAACUAGGCAAAAUGGUGCCGUAACUUCGGGAGAAGGCACGCUGAUAUGUAGGUGAAGCGACUUGCUCGUGGAGCUGAAAUCAGUCGAAGAUACCAGCUGGCUGCAACUGUUUAUUAAAAACACAGCACUGUGCAAACACGAAAGUGGACGUAUACGGUGUGACGCCUGCCCGGUGC